rnacentral:tRNA from 1 species
CGGGGUGUGGCGCAGACUGGUUUAGCGCGUAGCGUUCGGGACGCUAAGGUCGCUGGUUCAAAUCCAGUCACCCCGA